UAGACAACACUUUGCACGCUAUUUGUUAUCAUCAUGUUAAAAAUCAGCGAGGAUCUCUUGUCAAACAACAUUAUCUGUUUACCCGUGAUUUCGCUUGCAGCAUUCGUCGGCAAUAUUAUCGCUAGACGAACUGGUGUUGUGCAUCUCGAGCCAUCGUACCCGGGCUUCGGCAUUUUAGCUGAGCACUGGCUUUUUUGCGCCGUGUUGAUUAUUUAUUUUUUAAAUUAUUUUUUGCUUUACCUGCAAUGCCUUGCAACGGUGCAAAUAACUCUUUCUCGACAAACUAAAGAAUAUUUGAUGCUUCAUCCCGCAUUUGAUUACAAGGCAUGAACACGUAACUUAAUCGGAGGAUUCACCCAUGUCUUUUUUUUGGUGGGGAUAUGAUGAAUAAUUGUGCGUAAGGGCUUAUGUACACCAUACCACUACCGCGUCGAUAUGCUGUGUACAUGAAUCUGCCACGUCCGUUCCUUUUGAUUUUACUACACAUUUGAUAAUGUGUUUGAUGCACUAUGAACAUCAUAUUGCAAUCAUUCAAUAUUAUUUAGUGAAACAUGAUACACAACAUCAGUUCCUCUAGUAAGUCUAGUAAUAUUGCCGACGAAAGCUGCAAGCGAAAUCAUGAGUAGACAGACAAUGUUGUUUGACAAGAGAUUCUCGCUGAUUUUCAACAUGAUGAUAACAAAUCGCGUGCAAAGUGUUGUCUAGUGCAUACGAGGUUAUAACGUAUGAUUUGAGUACACUAGAAGAAUUUUUAGUAAGUUCAAAUAAAUUCAUCGAAACGGAGUUUCGUUGAAAAAUCUUUUUUUGUGUCGAAUUUAAGAAAUAAUGUGCAAAGUGCUAUACCAUUUUAGAAUCCUUAUUAAAUGCGCCAACUUUGGUGAAAUUUGCCACUACUAGCGCCAUACAUAAUUUAUUCAGUACAGUCACUUAAAGUAAGGUGAAAAUUUUAUUCAGAGUAUUUGGUUCCUCUAAAACUAACAAUGUUUUCCAAUCUAAAGCAGUUGGCUAAGAAUUUAUGAUUCCGUAUUACUGGAGCACUAUUCAGGAUAAUGUAAGGAAGACUGCAGACGAAAAAAUAAAGAUUUGUAGCAACAAGAGUCAAAAGACUGGCACAGGGUGUACUUUUUCGUGGAUAACACAUAAGUCACUGUAAUUUAAAAACUGUAGGACUUAGAUUUUUUUUUAUAUUUUUCUGAUAACAUUUGGAACCUUGCCGAUCAUCUGGUGCCUGUUGGACGUCGACUUCAGGGACACCCUGUAU